rnacentral:lncRNA from 1 species
GACAAAAUAUGAGACUAAAAGUAAAGAAAAGAGAGGCAGUGGAGAAUUUUUAUAUAUUUCUAUGUACAUUGAAGAAGAAUACGUAAGCUUAUUUAUAGAUUUUAUUGGAUGAUUAUGUGACGUCCUAGGUACAUCACAUGCUACAUGCGUCCUUUCCAUUUAUACUCAUAAUCAUAAUUACGCAUGUGGAAAUACCACAAAAUACAUCAGAACAUACCAUAUGAGAAAGUCGCACUAGUUUACUAUAUAUGCUUCUUCUUCUUCAUACAAAUACUAGUACUUAUUAUCACAACAUAUAGUCCUGAGACUUGUAGGUUAUGGGCACAUUGGUACUACUACUCCUAUACUAAUCCACAAGCAAGUCACCACCCAACUUGGGGGUUAAUGGUCUCAGGCAUCAUCUCAUCCCUUUCUUCGUCAUACCCCAAAGGGAACAUCCUACACACUGAAAAAUAAAUGAUGAAUUGAAGCUCGAUAAAUGAAAUCCCUACAUAUAAGGUAGGAGAUCAUCUUAGCACUUAACCUAGUACCAAUCAAAUAACAUGAGUUCAAGACAAUAAUUAUGUGUGGACAAGUUCUUCUUCUUUACUAACACGAUAUGCCAAUAAAACCAUUAACCAUAUUGCAAGUUCAUCCACUCAUAAGCAAGCAUAAAAUAUGACCUAACAUUUCAUGAUGUACUAGUAUUACCUAUUGGUUUAGUACCAUCAUUUGUAAGAGUAUGCUUAGGCAAGUCCAUACUUGUCAUGCAUUUCACCACGCACAUAAGUGAAUUCAUACAUGUCGUGCGUUUCUCCACCACUAUGCAUAUCUUCCAGACUUGUCACAACUCUCACC